rnacentral:tRNA from 1 species
UCCCUGGUGGUCUAGGAGGUUAAGACUCUGCACUUUCACUGCACGGGAUGUGGGUUCAAAUCCUGGUUGGGGAA